rnacentral:rRNA from 1 species
ACAAAAGUAGGGAAAUGUGUGAGCCAGCUGCCAAGAAAAGCCGCUAUUGUUUGUACUGUACCCGUACCGUAAACCGACACAGGUAGGUGAGGAGAGAAUCCUAAGGCCGACGGGAGAAGCAUAGUUAAGGAACUCGGCAAAAUGACUCCGUAACUUCGGGAGAAGGAGUGCCAGUGAGAGCUGGCCGCAGAGAGUUGGCCCAAGCAACUGUUUAGCAAAAACACAGGUCUAUGCAAAACCGUAAGGUGAAGUAUAUGGGCUGACGCCUGCCCGGUGCUGGAAGGUUAAGGGGAGAGGUUAGCGCAAGCGAAGCUUUGAACUUAAGCCCCAGUAAACGGCGGCCGUAACAAUAACGGUCCUAAGGUAGCGAAAUUCCUUGUCGGGUAAGUUCCGACCCGCACGAAAGGCGUAAUGAUAUGGGCACUGUCUCAACAAUGCACCCGGUGAAAUUGAAAUACCAGUGAAGAUGCUGGUUACCUGCGCCAGGACGGAAAGACCCCAUGGAGCUUUACUCCAGCUUGAUACUGGGAUUCGAUAUUGUAUGUACAGGAUAGGUGGGAGGCGAAGAAGCAUUGACGCCAGUUGAUGCGGAGCCGCUGUUGGGAUACCACCCUUGCAGUAUUGGAUUUCUAACCAGCAGCCGUGACCCGGCUGGGGGACAAUGUCAGGUGGGGAGUUUGACUGGGGCGGUCGCCUCCGAAAGGGUAUCGGAGGCGCUCAAAGGUUCCCUCAGAAUGGUUGGAAACCAUUCGAAGAGUGCAAAGGCAGAAGGGAGCUUGACUGCGACACCGACGGGUGGAGCAGGUACGAAAGUAGGACUUAGUGAUCCGGUGGUAUAAAGUGGGAUUGCCAUCGCUCAACGGAUAAAAGCUACCCUGGGAUAACGGCUUAUCACUCCCAAGAGUUCACAUCGACGGAGUGGUUUGGCACCUCGAUGUCGGCUCAUCGCAUCCUGGGGCUGAAGUAGGUCCCAAGGGUUGGGCUGUUCGCCCAUUAAAGCGGUACGCGAGCUGGGUUCAGAACGUCGUGAGACAGUUCGGUCCCUAUCCGGCGUGGGCGUAGGAUAUUUGAGAGGAGCUGGCCUUAGUACGAGAGGACCGGGCUGGACUGACCGCUGGUGUAUCUGUUGUUCCGCCAGGAGCAUGGCAGAGUAGCCAAGUCAGGAAGGGAUAAACGCUGAAGGCAUCUAAGCGUGAAGCCCCCCUCAAGAUGAGAUAUCCCAACGCAAGUUGUAAGACCCCUUGAAGACGACAAGGUAGAUAGGGCAGAGGUGGAAGUGCAGUAAUGCAUGGAGCUGACUGUUACUAAUCGGUCGAGGGCAUAACCG